UAACGAAUCUUCCGCAAUGCGCGAAAGCGUGACGGAGCAAUGCCGCGUGCAGGAUGAAGCCCCUCGGGGUGUAAACUGCUGUCAGGGUGUAGGAACACAAUGACCACACCCAAAGGAAGGGCCGGCUAACUUCGUGCCAGCAGCCGCGGUAAUACGAAGGGCCCGAGCGUUGCGCGGAAUCACUUAGGGCUUAAAGGGUGCGUAGGCGGACCUGCAAGUGCCUUGUGAAAUCCCACGGCUCAACCGUGGAAUGGCUUGGCAUACUGCAGGUCUUGAGGUCGGCAGAGGUCGCCGGAACUCUAGGUGUAGCGGUGAAAUGCGUAGAUAUCUAGAGGAACGCCCAAGGCGAAGGCAGGCGGCUGGGCCGAUUCUGACGCUGAGGCACGAAAGCGUGGGUAGCGAACGGGAUUAGAUACCCCCGUAGUCC
rnacentral:rRNA from 1 species